UACAGAGGGUGCAAGCGUUGUUCGGAAUUAUUGGGCGUAAAGCGCGUGUAGGCGGCUUUGCAAGUCGGGUGUGAAAGCCCUCGGCUCAACCGAGGAAGUGCACUCGAAACUGCGUAGCUAGAGUCUCGGAGAGGAAGGUGGAAUACUUGGUGUAGAGGUGAAAUUCGUAGAUAUCAAGUGGAACACCGGUGGCGAAGGCGGCCUUCUGGACGAUGACUGACGCUGAGACGCGAAAGCGUGGGGAGCAAACAGG
rnacentral:rRNA from 1 species